AGUGAACGCUGGCGGCAGGCCUAACACAUGCAAGUCGAGCGGCAGCGCGGGGGCAACCCUGGCGGCGAGCGGCGGACGGGUGAGGAAUUCGUCGGAAUCUGCCUUUUUGUGGGGGAUAACGUAGGGAAACUUACGCUAAUACCGCAUACGUCCUACGGGAGAAAGUGGGGGACCGCAAGGCCUCACGCAGAAAGAUGAGCCGACGACCGAUUAGCUAGUUGGUGGGGUAAAGGCCCACCAAGGCGACGAUCGGUAGCUGGUCUGAGAGGAUGAUCAGCCACACUGGGACUGAGACACGGCCCAGACUCCUACGGGAGGCAGCAGUGGGGAAUAUUGGACAAUGGGCGCAAGCCUGAUCCAGCCAUGCCGCGUGUGUGAAGAAGGCCUUCGGGUUGUAAAGCACUUUUGUCCGGAAAGAAAUCCCUGGAGCUAAUACCUUCGGGGGAUGACGGUACCGGAAGAAUAAACACCGGCUAACUUCGU
rnacentral:rRNA from 1 species